rnacentral:rRNA from 1 species
UACGUAGGGUGCAAGCGUUGUCCGGAAUUAUUGGGCGUAAAGAGCUCGUAGGUGGCCUGUCGCGUCGGCUGUGAAAACUCGGGGCUCAACUCCGAGCUUGCAGUCGAUACGGGCAGGCUAGAGUUCGGCAGGGGAGACUGGAAUUCCCGGUGUAGUGGUGAAAUGCGUAGAUAUCGGGAGGAACACCAGUGGCGAAGGCGACUUCCUGGCCUGUUCUUGACGCUGAGGCGCGAAAGCUAGGGGAGCAAACGGG